rnacentral:rRNA from 1 species
AGAUUGAACGCUGGCGGCGUGCCUAACACAUGCAAGUCGAGCGGUAACAGGUGUAGCAAUACAUGCUGACGAGCGGCGAACGGGUGAGUAAUGCUUUGGAAUCUUCCCAGUAGUGGGGAAUAACCAGUCGAAAGAUUGGCUAAUACCGCAUACGUCUGUAAAGGGAAAGCGGGGGCUCGUAAGACCUCGCGCUAUUGGAUGAGCCAAAGUCGGAUUAGCUAGUUGGCGGGGUAAUGGCCCACCAAGACAGUGAUCGGUA